UGCCUACGGGGCGCAGCAGUGAGGAAUAUUGGUCAAUGGACGAGAGCCUGAACCAGCCAAGUCGCGUGAAGGAUGACUGCCCUAUGGGUUGUAAACUUCUUUUAUAUGGGAAUAAAAUGUUCCACGUGUGGGGUUUUGUAUGUACCAUAUGAAAAAGGAUCGGCUAACUCCGUGCCAGCAGCCGCGGUAAUACGGAGGGUCCAAGCGUUAUCCGGAUUUAUUGGGUUUAAAGGGAGCGUAGGUGGAUUGUGAAGUCAGUUGUGAAAGUUUGCGGCUCAACCUUAAAAUUGCAUUUGAAACUGGCA
rnacentral:rRNA from 1 species